UACGUAGGGGGCAAGCGUUAUCCGGAUUUACUGGGUGUAAAGGGAGCGUAGACGGCAAGGCAAGUCUGAUGUGAAAACCCAGGGCUUAACCCUGGGACUGCAUUGGAAACUGCCUGGCUCGAGUGCCGGAGAGGUAAGCGGAAUUCCUAGUGUAGCGGUGAAAUGCGUAGAUAUUAGGAAGAACACCAGUGGCGAAGGCGGCUUACUGGACGGUAACUGACGUUGAGGCUCGAAAGCGUGGGGAGCAAACAGG
rnacentral:rRNA from 1 species